UACGGAAGGGGCUAGCGUUGUUCGGAAUCAUUGGGCGUAAAGGGCGCGUAGGUGGUCUUGUGUGUCUUCCGUGAAAGCCCACGGCUCAACCGUGGUGUGUCGGGGGAAACUGCAGGACUUGAGGCUGGGAGGGGCUGGUGGAAUUCCCUGUGUAGCGGUGAAAUGCGUAGAGAUGGGGGAGAACACGCGUGGCGAAGGCGGCCAGCUAGACCAGUUCUGACACUGAGGCGCGACAGCGUGGGGAGCAAACAGG
rnacentral:rRNA from 1 species